GACGAACGCUGGCGGCGUGCUUAACACAUGCAAGUCGAGCGGAGCGGCGAACGGGUGAGUAACGCGUGAGUAACUGCCCCCCUCUCUGGGAUAACAGUUGGAAACGGCUGCUAAUAUCGGACAGUGGGGGAUGACUUGCGUCCUAUCAGCUUGUUGGUGGGGUAGUGGCCUACCAAGGGGACGACGGUGAGUCGGCCUGAGAGGGCGACCGGCCACCUUGGGCUGGGGGAGGGCCCAAACGGCUACGGGGGGCAGUAGUGGGGAAUAUUGCGCAGUGGGGGAAACCCUGAUGCAGCAACGCGCGGGCGGGAUGACGGCUUACGGGUUGUAAACCGCUUACAGCCAUGACGCGGUAGUGGCAGAAGAAGCACCGGCUAACUACGUGCCAGCAGCCGCGGUAAUUC
rnacentral:rRNA from 1 species